GACGAACGCUGGCGGCGUGCUUAACACAUGCAAGUCGAACGAUGAAGCCGGAGCUUGCUCUGGUGAAUUAGUGGCGAACGGGUGAGUAACACGUGAGUAACCUGCCCUUGACUCUGGGAUAACUGCUAGAAAUGGUAGCUAAUACCGGAUACGACCCUCGGAGGCAUCUUCAGGGGGUGGAAAGAAUUUCGGUCAAGGAUGGACUCGCGGCCUAUCAGCUAGUUGAUGAGGUAAUGGGUCACCAAGGCGACGACGGGUAGCCGGCCUGAGAGGGUGACCGGCCACACAGGGACUGGGACACGGCCCGGACUCCUACGGGAGGCAGCGGUGGGGAAUAUUGCACAAUGGGCGCAAGCCUGAUGCAGCAACGCCGCGUGAGGGAUGACGGGCUUCGGGUUGUAAACCUCUUUUAGUAGGGAAGAAGCGAAAGUGACGGUACCUGCAGAAAAAGCACCGGCUAACUACGUGCCAGCCGCCGCAGUAA
rnacentral:rRNA from 1 species